AUUGAACGCUGGCGGCAGGCCUAACACAUGCAAGUCGAGCGGAUGAAGGGAGCUUGCUCCUGGAUUCAGCGGCGGACGGGUGAGUAAUGCCUAGGAAUCUGCCUGGUAGUGGGGGAUAACGUCCGGAAACGGGCGCUAAUACCGCAUACGUCCUGAGGGAGAAAGUGGGGGAUCUUAGGACCUCACGCUAUCAGAUGAGCCUAGGUCGGAUUAGCUAGUUGGUGGGGUAACGGCCUACCAAGGCGACGAUCCGUAACUGGUCUGAGAGGAUGAUCAGUCACACUGGAACUGAGACACGGUCCAGACUCCUACGGGAGGCAGCAGUGGGGAAUAUUGGACAAUGGGCGAAAGCCUGAUGCAGCCAUGCCGCGUGUGUGAAGAAGGUCUUCGGAUUGUAAAGCACUUUAAGUUGGGAGGAAGGGAAGUAAGUUAAUACCUUGCUGUUUUGACGUUACCAACAGAAUAAGCACCGGCUAACUUCGUG
rnacentral:rRNA from 1 species